GGGUUGCCGACCCCUGACUUGGAGGCUCUCGUGUGAUAGGCCAAACCCUUGGCUCCACCUGAUCAUGGCAAUAGGUAAACACCUUUUGUGUUUUGGACACUUGGUGGCUAAUGACUCAGUCGACGAUGAAGAAAUGUUUUGAAAUGUCGUUUGACAAGAUUUCUCCUAUGGUUACUCAUGUCACUCACUAUUUGAUGAUAAUUCCUCUUUAAGAUAACAAAAAGGCUGGCUAUUAAUUAUCAACCACACCUUUGACAAGGAUGGGACAUAGUUUGCAAUUAGGCUCAUUUAUAAAAGGUCGCCACAUUGUUUGAGGUGACAUAAAAGCAGGCGCUGAAGCCAAAGACGCAUCGAGCCGAGCUUCUCCGAACAGCGGCCCACAUUGAGCACAGUUCCAUCCUUCCCAGGUGAGACGUCCAUCCCCUCCACUCAAAUCCAGUUGAAUUUCACGGAAUCGAAUUCCAAUUGGACUCUGAUCAAAACCACCGGCUGAGCUUUGGGGUGAGAGUCGACCGCAGCUGUCUGGAACACGACUUUAGACAAGUUUAUCCAAUUGCAACGGUCGCUGCCCGGCAAUCGGGAGCGCUUUCGAUUCGUUCGUGUGCAUCUGACAACUCGAGGCCUUUUGGAGACGGAUCAAGACCAGCAAACCGGCCAGGAACCCAAAGGACAUUCGCUGACAAGAUGAUGACCUACAGGAUUUUCAUUAUUUUCCUUCUGCUGGUUGGAAGUGACAGUAGACCGACUC